UGAAGCUGCUGUUGUGGGAAGACCUGAUGAUCACUGGGGAGAAACAUCAUGUGCAUUUGUGAAGCUCAAAGAUGGGUGCAGUGCUACUGAAGAAGAGAUUAUAAAAUUCUGUAGAGAACGCCUACCUCAUUACAUGGCUCCACGAAGUGUUGUGUUUAAGGAUUUACCAAAAACUUCUACAGGGAAAACCCAAAAAUUUAUCCUCAAGAAGGAAGCCAAGGCCAUGGGUAGCCUUCCAAAACGGGUUAGUAAACUGUAAAUUCAACAUCGAAAGGGAAGGCAAUGGUGUUUAAAUAAGUAAGGUCCUGAUUGUUUGUGUUUUGGUUGAUAUCAAUUGUAGUUCUCCACAGAUAUGCACA
rnacentral:misc_RNA from 1 species